rnacentral:lncRNA from 1 species
UUCUUUUUCAUGCGUAGCCUCAGAGAUCAGAGCAAUAACAUCCGUCGGGAGGUGCUUUUUGAGAUCCAGGAGUUGGGUCGUGUGCAGGAGGAGUUGAGUGCCAUUCAGCAGAAUGUUCUCUCUCUUUUGGCGGUUUUAGAGUCAGAGUCAGCUGCUCAACACUUACAGGAAGUCAAAAUGGAAUUGGUUUCACAGAAGGCUCGACUGCAGGAUGUCAUGGACAGAGUGCAGAAGAAAUGGAGCUGUGUACCCUCAGAGAUUCAAAUCUUACAGAAUGAGCUCGACGUCUCCAUGCAGGAGGCUAAGGACAAAUUGGGCAUGGUCAUGGAGAGAAGUGGUCCUCUCCGUAAAAUGGGUGAGCUGAUUGGAGAGGUGACCGUAGGCUUGAAUUGUGUGCAGGCCCUGCUAAAAAAAACAAGUCCUAAUUUUUCUGAGGCCGAACGUACACAAAAGGUACUUCUUUCUUGCUUGCCUUCACAUGCACAUUAUUGAAAUUUUCU